UUUCCGUAGGUGAACCUGCGGAAGGAUCAUUACAGUAGUCACCCGGGUUGCCGCAAGGCCUCUCGGGUAACCUACCACCCUUUGUUUAUUACACUUUGUUGCUUUGGCAGGCCUGCCUUCGGGCUGCUGGCUCCGGCCGGCGAGCGCUUGCCAGAGGAUCUAAACUCUGUUUGUCUAUACUGUCUGAGUACUAUAUAAUAGUUAAAACUUUCAACAACGGAUCUCUUGGUUCUGGCAUCGAUGAAAACGCAGC
rnacentral:misc_RNA from 1 species